UACGGGGGGGCAAGCAGUUGUUCGGAAUUACUGGGCGUAAAGGGCUCGUAGGCGGCCAACUAAGUCAAACGUGAAAUCCCUCGGCUUAACCGGGGAACUGCGCUUGAUACUGGAUGGCUUGAGAUUGGGAGAGGGAUGCGGAAUUCCAGGUGUAGCGGUGAAAUUCGUAGAUAUCGGGAGGAACACCGGUGGCGAAGGCGGCGACCUGGGUCGAUACUGACGCUGAGGUGCGAAAGCGUGGGGAGCAAAC
rnacentral:rRNA from 1 species